UCCAGCAGCCAUAUCACCUUGUGACUCACAACUGGCAAUCCACUGAAGCUAAGCAGGUGUGAGCCUGGCCAGUACCUCGAUGGGAGACCUCCUGGGAAAAACUAAGGUUGCUGCUGGAA
rnacentral:rRNA from 1 species